AUGCCUUUUUCAAGGCCGUUCGACUGUAUCUUAAGCAUGUUUUUAAUGCCCGUCUCCAUGCAGUCUGUGAAGAAUUGAUUUCCUGCGGAUUAUCCAUUAUUUAUGAUUGUAACAUAUUGUACAUAAAUAACUGAGGAAGUUCCCGCAAUUUGAAGAUGUUGCCAAAAAAUAUUUGACUUGCAAGAAAAUAUUUAAUUUAUCUUACAGGGGCAG
rnacentral:ncRNA from 1 species